CCAUGCACCAGUACAGGCUGGGGCUCGAACUGCUGAAGAGCAAGUCUGCAGAGAGAGACCUGGGAGUCCUGAUUGAUAGUAAACUAAACAUGAGCCAGCAAUGUGCCCUCUUGGCCAAGAAGGCCAAUGGCAUCCUGGGACACAUCAAGAAGAGUGUGGCCAGCAGGUCAAGGGAGGUUCUUCUUCCCCUCUCCUCUGCCCUCAUCUGAAGUACUGUGUCCAGUUCUGGGCUCUUCAGCUCAAGAGGGACAGGGAACUUCUGGAGAGAGUCCAGUGCAGGGCCACCAAGAUGAUCAGGGGACUGGAACACCUUUUAUACAAGGGUCUGUCUGGCAGCUCUUCAUCACCAGCUGAUUUUGCCGGGGUGGGAUGUGAAACAGCCUGAGAAGGGAACAUAAUGUUUUCCCCUUAAUUUCACCAAGGCCAAGAUUUCCCCUUCUUGCUGAGGGCUGAACUCUCCAACACAGCUGUGAUUGCUCUCCUCACGAGAGGUGACAGCCCAGCUAUACCCACCCUGGAGGAUAAAGGUGAAGAGCUGGACUGCUUCCAGGGCUCCAGCUACCUCAUUUAGAGCUGGCUUGGGCAGGUUCUGGCUGCAGUGGUUUGCGGCACCUGCCUCAGCUCUGCUGCAGCCACACACAAGCAAAUCCUUCGAGUGGGUAGUUGUCCCAGGUGAAACAUGCCGUUCAGCCAAACACAGGGACAUUCUCAUGAAGUAAGUGGCUACCAGAUCCCCUGUCUCUGCACAUGUUCUGCUUCCUGAGCCCUCAGAGGCAGGAAAUGAGAGGGAUGCAGCAUGCUCUUCUACUCCAGGAGCCAAAAGCAACCAGCCUAGCUCACCAUCAGCAGGCAGCAUUUCAUGUGUUGUGACUGACAGAAGGGAUCUACUGCCUCAUCCAUCUGGGAGACCUGGGCACCCUCAUGCUGAGAUGUCACAGCCAGCUCAGCCCAGGGGAGCAACACUGAGUUGCCAGUUUCAAUCUUUGCAAUUUGAUGAGUUGUAAAGUUUUCCCAGGUCACAUAGAGACAACGCAGGUCUAUUGAUAGGCUUGCUGUCUACUCAGCGCUCUGCAAAACAGCCCAUAGAUCCUCACAAAGCAAAAGCCGGUGGCGAAUACACAGGGGAAACAAGUCCUUGAUUUCCUUAUGCAGCAGCAUCCACAGACGGCCCCCCGCUCACCAUCUCACCUCACCGCUGCACUCCACAAGAUGUUACUGAACAAGACGAACCAGAGCCUCCACAAGAAUAUGUCUUCUUUCUUCCACUCUGCCCUCAGCAGAGGCUGUUAACUGCAGAUCCGCCUGUUUAGCUACCUAAGUCCAUCCUAAACAAAAGCCAGAUCUUUCACCUUCACAAGAGCAAGAUGGAGGCAGCCGUGAACCUGGCGGUGUUAUCCAGAUGAGUCGUCUCCCAGAGAUCCAUCAUCUUUUCCAGCGUGGAUGGACUGACACGUGAUACACUCAUCUCCACGGCUGACGAGCAAAUGCUACCGUUUCCAAACAGCUUUUCCUCCCAAAGACUCCAAAGAGCACCACAAAACAUACAACAGUACAAGAUCCCUCACAAAGCGAUGAGCAGGGUCAGAGCUGACAAGUCCUUUGCUUGACUGCUGUCCUGCACAGUGCAGCCUCACGGAGCAGGCACUGGCAGCGGGUCAUGGACACUGCAGUGCUCCAGCCGCAAACACCAAUGCCAUCACCAGGGCAGGGCGGGUGCAGGGCGUUACUCUCAUCCUGGACUGUAAGCUCCACUGGCACCAUGUCUACUCGUGCCUGUACAGCGCCCAGCAUGUGGGGCUUAGCUCCUGACAAGACAGAGGCAGGGUCGGGACCAUCACCACCCUCCUUGGCAUCAGAGGUGCAAAAGGAACCUGGGGGGUCCUGCCCCCUCGUUCCUGCCCAUCAGACCACCCUCUUCUCACUGCACAGGGAACUCAGGCUGAGCUCCAUGCCAGGAUGUUGAUGCCUACCUCCUAUUCACUUCAAGGGGUUUUUAGGUGCCUACAUGCUUUUGGAGGCUUUGGGCCCAAAUCCAAGAGUCCGACCAGCAGGCUGCCGGUGUCCUGCUGCCUCCAGGGGCAGUGCCAGAGGGCCUCUUACACAAUGGAGGAAAAACCAGGGUGCAAGGCAGAAGGAGAAGGCAAAGGAAAUCAAGGUCAGAAUUAAAUUCUUUAAUACAAAAAAAAGUUUGUUUGUCGUCAUCGUCGUCGUCGUUUUUUU